rnacentral:misc_RNA from 1 species
AAAUUAGUACAAAAAAACAAAAGAAAAUUUUUAAGUAAAAUUAGGUAAGCUUAAAUUGUCUAGCUAGCACAGUCGGUAAGAAAAAACUAAAAACAAAACUGAUACAAAAGUUUAGGAACACACCAGAUGUAAAUAAGUAUAUGAUAUCCUCUGCAUCGCACUUUCCCACUUUGAAUCUGUCUCUGUAUACUUUUGUAGAAAUGUCUGUCACUAUAGCGGUGGUUAGAAUAUCCAUUUUUUUAUAAUUUAAAUUGAAAGUUUCAAAGAAGAAAUGGCUAUCAAAAGUGAAAAGCCUCAAGGCCAUGGAAUCUUUUAUUGUUAAGAUGCGAGAAGAACUUAAUUU